rnacentral:rRNA from 1 species
UACGGAGGGUGCAAGCGCUAUCCGGAUUUACUGGGUUUAAAGGGUGUGUAGGUGGCGCCGUAAGUCGGGUGUGAAAUUUCGGAGCUUAACUCCGAAACUGCAUUCGAUACUGCGGUGCUUGAGGACUGGAGAGGAGACUGGAAUUCAUGGUGUAGCAGUGAAAUGCGUAGAGAUCAUGAGGAAGACCAGUGGGGAAGGCGGGUCUCUGGACAGUUCCUGACACUGAGACACGAAGGCCAGGGGAGCAAACGGG